UACGUAGGUGGCAAGCGUUGUCCGGGUUUACUGGGCGUAAAGAGCGCGCAGGCGGUCGUUCAAGUCGAGUGUGAAAGCCCCCGGCUCAACUGGGGAGGGUCAUUCGAUACUGAUCGACUCGAAGGCAGGAGAGGGAAGUGGAAUUCCCGGUGUAGUGGUGAAAUGCGUAGAUAUCGGGAGGAACACCAGUGGCGAAGGCGACUUCCUGGCCUGUUCUUGACGCUGAGGCGCGAAAGCUAGGGGAGCAAACGGG
rnacentral:rRNA from 1 species